rnacentral:rRNA from 1 species
GAGUUUGAUCAUGGCUCAGAAUCAACGCUGGCGGCGUGCCUAACACAUGCAAGUCGAACGCGGUUAUCCAGCAAUGGAUAACUGAGUGGCGAACGGGUGAGUAACACGUGGGUGACCUACCUUCGAGUGGGGGAUAACGUCCCGAAAGGGACGCUAAUACCGCAUAACAUCCUGCCUUUGAACAGGCGGAGAUCAAAGCCGGGGAUCGCAAGACCUGGCGCUUGAUGAGGGGCCCGCGUCCGAUUAGCUAGUUGGUGGGGUAAUGGCUCACCAAGGCGACGAUCGGUAACCGGCCUGAGAGGGCGGACGGUCACACUGGGACUGAGACACGGCCCAGACUCCUACGGGAGGCAGCAGUGGGGAAUUGUUCGCAAUGGGCGCAAGCCUGACGACGCAACGCCGCGUGGAGGAUGAAGGUCUUCGGAUUGUAAACUCCUGUUGCUCGGGACGAAAUGCUUCGACCUAACACGUCGAAGUUUGACGGUACCGGGUAGGGGGCC